rnacentral:rRNA from 1 species
GACGAACGCUGGCGGCGUGCUUAACACAUGCAAGUCGAGCGGAGCGGCGAAUGGGUGAGUAACGCGUGAGUAACUGCCCCACUCCCUGGGAUAACAGUUGGAAACGGCUGCUUAUACCGGUUAGUGGGGGAUGACUCGCGGCCAGUCAGCUUGUCGGUGGGGUAGUGGCCUACCACGGCGACGACGGGUAGCCGGCCUGGGAGUGCGACCGGCCACGUAGUGCUGAGCUACGGGCCGAAGUCCUACGGGGGGCAGGGGUGGGGAAAAGUGCACAAAGGGGGAAACCCGGAUGCAGCAACGCCGCGUGGGGGAGGACGGCCUUCGGGUUGUAAACCGCUUUCAGCCAAGACGCGGUAGUGGCAGAAUAAGCAACGGCUAACUACGUGCCAGCAGCCGCGGUAAUAC